rnacentral:misc_RNA from 1 species
UACAGAAGCCCCAAGCGUUACCCGGAUUUACUGGGCGUAAAGGGUGCGUAGGCGGUUAUAUUAGUCAGUCGUUAAAACUUCAGGCUCAACCUGAAGAUCGCGAUUGAAACGGUAUAACUAGAAGAUGUGAGAGGUACACAGAACUCUCGGUGUAGAGGUGAAAUUCGUUGAUAUCGAGGGGAAUACCAAAUGCGAAGGCAGUGUACUGGCACAUUCUUGACGCUGAGGCACGAAAGCGUGGGUAGCGAACGGG